rnacentral:rRNA from 1 species
GUGCUUACACUGCAAGUCGCGCGUGAGAGGACGUCGGUGCGAGUAAAGCGGCGAAUGGGUGAGUAACUCGUGGAUGAUCUACCCAUGAUUUGGGAAUAGUGGGUGGAAACGGUCGCUAAUACCGAAUACGCUCCUAUUUCAGUUUCGGGGGAAAGGUGGCCUCUGCUUGCACGCUACUGCUCAAGGAUGAGUCCGCGUCCCAUUAACUAAUUGGUGGGGUAACGGCCCAACAUGGCGACUAUAGGUAGCCGGUCUAAGAGGAUGACGGGACACGCUGGGACUGGAACACUGCCCACACUCUGACUGGAGGCAUCAAUGGGGAAUAUUGCCCAAUGGGCGAAGGCCUGACGCACCUACCCCCCGCGAGGGAUGAAGGUCCUCUGAUCGUAAACCUCUGUCAAGAGGGAAGAACCGCCACGGUGCUAAUCAGCCGUGGUCUGACGGUACCUCCUAAGGAAGCUCCGGCUACCUCCAUGCCAACAACCUCACUAAUACCGAGGGUGCGAUCGUUAAUAAUAAUCACUGGGCGUACAGUGCAUUUAGGCAGCGUGGUAAGUAAGGCGUGAAAACCCGCGGCUCAACCGCUUAAUUGCCUUUGAUACUGCCAAUCUACCAGUCCGGGAGAGGGUACUGCAAUUCCUGGUAUAUGAGUGAAAUCCAUAGAGAUCUGGAGGAACAACGCUGGCGAAGGCAACUACCUGGACCAGUCUUGACGCUGAGAUGCGUAACCGUGAGGAGCAAACACGAGUACAUACACGGGAUCUCAACGCGUUAGAUCAUCGAUGCUACGUGUCUCGGCCUUGAUCUUCGUUGCCGUAGUUAACGUCGUCACUGAUGU